GAGCUGCCACAUCAUCUUCCACGUCAUCUGCCAUGUCAAUGCUACACCAUUUUCCACCUCAGCAUUUAUUUUCCAUUUUAACUCUAUUUUAAUGUAACUUGGGUCAGAUUUGUAUUGAUGGGGGCCCAAUUUCGUUUUAGGUCAACUGCACCUAGGGUAGGGCUGACUUGGCAGCCAUUAAGGAGGAGGCUGAUGUGACUAGGUAUAAGGUUUGUUUUGUGCAACCCCUUUCCCUCGAAGAAGCCUCUCUGGAAGCAUUGGAAGCCUCAUUGUGUUGCUUUCGAAUAGCAGGGGAUCAAAGAUAUUUGGGUCUUUUGUGUCUUUUAUGAAGAGCAAGGAUUCAAAUGAUGGAACAGAGCAAGCUUUGGUUUCUGAAUUGAGUGCUUUGGAUGACCAUCUUAAGGCCCACGGUCCAUAUGUUGCUGGGGAGAAAGUCACUGUUGUUGAUCUGAGUUUGGCACAAAAACUGUACCAUCUAGUGAUAACACUUGGCCACUUCAAGAGUUGGAGUGUUCCUGAAAGUUUGGCACAUGUCCGCAACUACACC